UUUUUCCUUGUGACUGUCCAACGCAUUAUGAGGUCACAUGACUUGACGACUGUUAUAAAUUCGAGUGCCCUGGAGUAGUGUAUUACUUCCGCCACUAUUGCCCUUGCUAUCAACAUGAAGGUCGUCCUCUUUGCCUGCCUCCUAAUGGUUAUUCUGUGCCAGACAAUGGUAACGGCAAAUAGUACUACAACCGCUGAGCCAACGUCAACAACCAGUGAUGGAAGGGAGAUAACUGUGUCACUGGUUCCCCUCAUCGCCAGCUCCCUGCUGCUGCUCAUCCAGUAACCUGUGCAUGACGAACCAGGACGUCUGACCUCUUUCUGACUCUGACUGGCUCUGGUCUCUGACGUCUGUCAAUGCCUGUGCCAGCUAAGGGGAGACAUAGGUGCUUCUAUGACGUGGGACAGCCGUGUGCUUAAAACACUGAUAGUAUCGUUGUCUUCAUUCUUUCAAACAAUUAAACAUUUCUUUUGA